GGUAGUAGCAAAUAUUCAAACGAAAACUUUGAAGGUCGAAGAGGGGAAAGGUUCCAUCUGAACGCCACUUGCACAUGGGUUAGUCGAUCCUAAGGGUCCAGGGAACCCCAACAAAUAGCGCAUAUCGCACGUACCCCGAAUGGGAUCGGGUUAAAAUUCCUGAAUCGGGAUGUGGCGGUUGAUGGCAAUGUUAGGAAGUCCGGAGACGUCGACGGGGGCCACGGGAAGAGUUAUCUUUUCUGUUUAACAGCCUGCCCAUCCUGGAAACGACUCAGUCGGAGGUAGGGUCCAACAACUGGAAGAGCAGCGCACAUCACGUGGUGUCAGGUGCGCCCCCGGCGGCCCCUGAAAAUCUGAAGGACCAUGUUCCGUCCAUGCCUGGUCGUACUCAUAACCGCAUCAGGUCUCCAAGGUUAACAACCUCUGGUC
rnacentral:rRNA from 1 species